rnacentral:rRNA from 1 species
GUAACACGUAGUCAACAUGCCCAGGGGACGUGGAUAACCUCGGGAAACUGAGGAUAAACCGCGAUAAGUCACUACUUCUGGAAUGGGUAAUGACUCAAAUCUACAUGGCCCCUGGAUUGGACUGCGGCCGAUCAGGCUGUUGGUGAGGUAAUGGCCCACCAAACCUGUAACCGGUACGGGCUCUGAGAGGAGGAGCCCGGAGAUGGGCACUGAGACAAGGGCCCAGGCCCUAUGGGGCGCAGCAGGCGCGAAACCUCUGCAAUAGGCGAAAGCCUGACAGGGUUACUCUGAGUGAUUUCCGUUAAGGAGAUCUUUUGGCACCUCUAAAAAUGGUGCAGAAUAAGGGGUGGGCAAGUCUGGUGUCAGCCGCCGCGGUAAUACCAGCACCCCGAGUGGUCGGGACGUUUAUUGGGCCUAAAGCAUCCGUAGCCGGUUCUACAAGUCUUCCGUUAAAUCCACCUGCUUAACAGAUGGGCUGCGGAAGAUACUAUAGAGCU